UACGUAGGGGGCAAGCGUUGUCCGGAAUCAUUGGGCGUAAAGAGCGUGUAGGCGGCCCGAUAAGUCCGCCGUGAAAGUCCAGGGCUCAACCCUGGAAUGCCGGUGGAAACUGUCGGGCUGGAGUCCGGAAGAGGCGAGUGGAAUUCCUGGUGUAGCGGUGAAAUGCGCAGAUAUCAGGAGGAACACCACUGGCGAAGGCAGCUCGCUGGGACGGUACUGACGCUGAGACGCGAAAGCGUGGGGAGCAAACAGG
rnacentral:rRNA from 1 species